rnacentral:rRNA from 1 species
UUUCGUGCCAGCAGCCGCGGUAAUACGAGGGGGGCAAGCGUUGUUCGGAAUUAUUGGGCGUAAAGGGUGCGUAGGCGGUUUGAUAAGUCUUAUGUGAAAUCUAUGGGCUCAACCCAUAGUCUGCAUAGGAAACUGUCGGGCUUGAGAGUGGGAGAGGUGAGUGGAAUUUCCGGUGUAGCGGUGAAAUGCGUAGAUAUCGGAAGGAACACCUGUGGCGAAAGCGGCUCACUGGACCAUUUCUGACGCUGAUGCACGAAAGCUAGGGGAGCAAACAGGAUUAGAUACCCUGGUAGUCCUAGCCCUAAACGAUGAUUGCUUGAUGUGGAGGGUACCCAAUCC